GUUCACAAAACUUUAAGCAAUUUAUCUAGUAUGGCGUUACUUAAGUUUGGUUUAGUCAUCACUAUUCUUCUCACGGCAUUCACUACCGAUGUGAUAUGGUUCUCAAAGACACAAGUUAUGGCAGCAAGAAAUGUCGAUCCUAAUAAUGUAACAGGACUCAGAAGGAAAUUACUUCCACAACUUAAUGAUAUACUACCUACUUGUGGGAAAGCGUGUGGUAUCUCUAAUGGAGAAGAUUGCAGUGGUUGUUGGUUUUGUUGUAGCUGUGAACGAUCAACUUUCCCUUGGGAAUCUGAUAAUCCUUUCUUUUAUCGUUGUCAGUGACAAAAAUUGGUAAAUUAGUUCCCGAUUGAAAAGAGUCUGCUAAAGAUAUCUAUUACAUGUAUUUGUGAUUCCGUUUAAUUUCAGUAUCUGCUCUGUUUUUUCUUAUUUUCUUACACGAAUAACAAAGAAAUUCAUAUGAA